rnacentral:tRNA from 1 species
GUCGGGAUAGCUCAGUCGGUAGANCAGAGGAC